CAUUAUGAAAAAUUGAACACAUUUAUUCAAUUUCCAACAAUCACCAAUUAGAAAUGGGCUUAAAUGACAAUACAAAGAAAGCUAUAAGCAAACAUUUUGACAGGGGGAAUGUGAAGAAUUAGAACAAACUGCUUAGGAAACUACAGUGUGUGUCUGUGUUUGUGUCGUGUGUGUGUGUGUGUGCAGAUACCGUCUCUUUACACACAGAAGUACAAUGCUUGCAUCUUGGUACACAGACUUUGUGAUAGGUUUUUUUCCUUGUCAUGAGCCUUUUUGCCAUGAAGGAGCCAGUAUGGGAAAGCGGUUAAGAACAUGAGUUCUUAAGUCAAAUUCCUGGGGUCUGAAUCCCGACUCUCCAUCAUUAGUUGUGUGACACAUGCAAAGGACUUAUCACUGACAAUGGCACAUG
rnacentral:antisense_RNA from 1 species